UUUCUUUCUUUUCUAUAUGUUCUCGUAUUCUCAAAAUUGCUCGUCUCCUCUGGUCUUUCUUUCUUUUCUAUAUGUUAUCGUAUUCUCAAAAUUGCUGCCGCCGGAAGUUAUUUUCUGAGACAGUAAGAAGAGAUCGAAGAAAUGCAUGGAAGUAUGUUAUCUCAAUGCAUAGAAAUCAAGGGAUGUUGCUGUAAAUCAAAUGAACGAUUCCAUCUCUUUCACAGCAAAAAUAUUACGGUACCACCAGAGACAGGAAAAUAUGUCGACAAGUUCGGUGAACUUGGUGGAUGUUAGUAAAGCUGGUGGUGGGAAGCUUGUGGAGACCCAAACCAGCUUGCAUGGAAUUCAAGUCAAAAGCCAAUAGAGUGAUUAUGUAUUUUUAUGUAUUCUUUUUCUUUUCCGUUUCAUUUCAACAUGUAAUCAGAUAAUUUUAUGACUUUUAUGUAUUCUUUUAUUAUAUUUUCAGUGUGUCUUUUCUUUAAUCUCAACAUUUAUUAUGU